ACAGCGUUACACAUUUUAUGAAAAUUUUACAAACCUUUCUAAAAAAAUCAAAAAAAUUCAAAAUGCCAUAAUGGGAUGCGCAUGCACUGAUUCACACAGCGACAUAGAUAAAUCGGGGCUGUUCGCAAAUCCUCACGUGUUCUACAUAAGCAUUGCAUUGGGGCUGGUGAUUUUAUAUCUAGUCUGGUCCCUGUACCAGUGUGAGCUCUGCUGUUAAAAUAGCGGUGAUUAAGAAGCAACGUAGACUGAGAUGUUAUCGCCAUACUCCGAUCACGUUUUCCAAGAUGAGCUGCUGCGGGGAGUGUUGUGAUGAUUGCGGUGAUAUAGCAUUUUAUGAGAACCCCAGAGUUCAAGGACUUUUCCUGAGCCUCCUUCUCAUUAUACUGUACCUGAGCUAUAAGAUCUUUCGAUGUCAUCACCCACGGAGGUGUAUUCUUUAAUCGCUUUGAAAGUAAGAAGUCUUUGAUAUUUCGUAGAGUUGCUUGCUGAUCUUAUCGCCGGUCUCCUUCACCAUGCUGGUGAAGUGGCUGUUGGGGUUUGAGAGGAGGUUAUAAGGAUGAUCGAAUUCGGCAACUUGGCCUGAGCUCAUCACUAACACUCUAUCAGAAUCCAUGAUGGUGUUCAGCCUGUGCGCGAUAGUAAGGACCGUACACGAGGCGAACUGUUUACGAAUCGUCUGUUGAAUGAAGUGGUCGGUUCUGAAAAAAACAUUGUUAAAUUUAAUGUUUCAAUAAAACACAAGUUUACAAC